UACCCCCUGGUGUAAUGGCAGCACUACGGAUUUUGGUUCCGUCAGUCGAGGUUCGAGUCCUCGGGGGGUAGCUA
rnacentral:tRNA from 1 species